rnacentral:lncRNA from 1 species
CAAGAACAAAGGAAGAAAAAAAAGAACAAAAACCCUAGAGUGAAAAUUUAAGAGAAAAUUGGUGGAUUUCAAGUAAUCAAGCAAUCAAAGGUAAAAUUUCUUGAUUUUGACUUGUGAUCUACCUUUCCCAUACAUUCUUUUGCAUUUUCCAUGGUUGAAUCACAUGAUUUCAUGAUGGGUCUCUUGCUAGCCAAACACUUAGAGAGAGAUUUUGAUGGUUGUUUUGGUUAGAUUUUAAGAUAUUCUAGUGUUUUUAGUUGAUUGGUGAUGUGUAGUAUGAAAAUCAAGUAAGAAAAAUUCAUGUUCUUCCAUAACCCAUCAUUGGUCGAAUUCUCCAUGUGAAAUAUUGAUGAUGAUUUUGAUUUUAUUUCAAGUGAUUUGGUUAGGAAUUAGUGAUUUAUGGUGUGAGAAUCAAGCUUGAAAAAUUAUAUUGUUAGUGAACCCUCCAUGGUCGAAUUUUCCAAGAGAAAAUGUGAGGAUGAUUUUGCCACAUUUCAAGUUAUUUAAUUUGUGUUUGAUGAUUUGGAGUAUUGGGAGAAAAAUGGAAUUAUUUAGAGUUAAAUUAGACAUAUUGGCCAAUUAAUCGGGUGAUAGAUCGAAUUAGGCCAAUACCAUUUUAUUUAGGUACAUAAUUGAAUUUAUAUUGAACACUAUAUUUAGAUAGUUACCCGAGUAUUUUACAUCCCAUUUCAUGCAUUAGUAUAAAGCCUGAAUUGGAUUUACAAUGGUUUAGCACAAAUGUAGUAAAUGGUUUAUUGUGCAUUAUGUGUAGGUGGUGAGCUUUCUGGCAAAAGUAAAGAGAUAGUACCCGAGGAUCAAGAAUCAGAGUACUCAAAAUUCGACUCCCGAAAUAGUGAGUAACCUUACUAUUGUCUUAAUUAUCUAAAGUAGUUUUUACUCAUUUUUGUGAAUUGAUAGAAAAAUGAGUUUAAAUGGUAAAUCUUUAUGUUUUAUAAGCAAAAUGUGAUUAAAUGAAAUGAUUUUAUAAAAUUGUCUUGAAAUUGAAAGAUGGUUUUGAAAAUGGAGUAAUUAGAGACUAAUUGUUGUGUUAUAAAUUAUGGUUUGAAUUUAAUGGCUUAUGAUAAUAUUGGCAUGAAUGGUUGAAUUGGUAAAUAUGCUGAAAAUGUAUGAACUAUUGAUUUACCUUGAGAGGCUGUAAAAUAAAAUAAUUUUCAUGUCAUGCUAUCGCAAAUUUUAUUGUAUGGUGGUUUAGCUUACUGCAGUGGGCGGGUUCUGUGGACCAGCCUUUUUAAGGGGCAUGGAAUCUUGUUAUAUAUAUCUUACCUCGAUUGGGGAGGCACGUAGGGUAACUCCCGAGGUACAACUUUAGAGUUCACUUCACGCCAAACCACCACGUGAGGGUGAACUCAGCCAACGCCAAGGAACGACUAUGUUUUCAAAAGAAAAAAACAUGAUUUAUGCGUACAUGACUUUUUAACAGCCUUGGCGGACUUGGUUGGGAUAGCCCCAGGCCAAGGUAUCCCUAAUAACUGAGUAUGAGAAUGAUUUUGGCACGAGCCAAACUUUUCAGGAAAUCAUAAGCCUUGUUGUUUAUUUUGGGUGAAAUGAAUCUAUUUUAUCUUAUUAAAAUGAGUUCGAAAUGCUGUGAAUCAUUUUUAUGUUAAACUAUUUAUCUGUCUCCAUUUUUUCAGCUUUAGAUAUUUUAGAUAGUAUUUUUUUACUCAUUGAGAUAAUAUAAUCUCACCACCCUCCUUUCCACUAAUUUUAGGCUCAGGAUAGUAGGUAGAAAGCUCGUUUCGUUGAGGGCUACAGUUGGACUUGCAUCCUCAAAAACUGUAGGUUUACCGCUUUUGAUAUUUUUGGUCGUUCGUGGGCCCACGUGUCACUGUAAAUUAAAUCGUAUGCUUUGGUUAUCUGUAUUACAGUAUGUAUUAAUUUAUUUAGCUUUUACGCUACAAAA